GACGAACGCUGGCGGCGUGCUUAACACAUGCAAGUCGAACGGAAAGGCCCUGCUUUUGUGGGGUGCUCGAGUGGCGAACGGGUGAGUAACACGUGAGUAACCUGCCCUUGACUUUGGGAUAACUUCAGGAAACUGGGGCUAAUACCGGAUAGGAGCUCCUGCUGCAUGGUGGGGGUUGGAAAGUUUCGGCGGUUGGGGAUGGACUCGCGGCUUAUCAGCUUGUUGGUGGGGUAGUGGCUUACCAAGGCUUUGACGGGUAGCCGGCCUGAGAGGGUGACCGGCCACAUUGGGACUGAGAUACGGCCCAGACUCCUACGGGAGGCAGCAGUGGGGAAUAUUGCACAAUGGGCGGAAGCCUGAUGCAGCAACGCCGCGUGCGGGAUGACGGCCUUCGGGUUGUAAACCGCUUUCGCCUGUGACGAAGCGUGAGUGACGGUAAUGGGUAAAGAAGCACCGGCUAACUACGUGCCAGCAGCCGCGGUGAUACGUAGGGUACGAGCGUUGUCCGGAUUUAUUGGGCGUAAAGGGCUCGUAGGUGGUUGAUCGCGUCGGAAGUGUAAUCUUGGGGCUUAACCCUGAGCGUGCUUUCGAUACGGGUUGACUUGAGGAAGGUAGGGGAGAAUGGAAUUCCUGGUGGAGCGGUGGAAUGCGCAGAUAUCAGGAGGAACACCAGUGGCGAAGGCGGUUCUCUGGGCCUUUCCUGACGCUGAGGAGCGAAAGCGUGGGGAGCGAACAGGCUUAGAUACCCUGGUAGUCCACGCUGUAAACGGUGGGUACUAGGUGUGGGGUCCAUUCCACGGGUUCCGUGCCGUAGCUAACGCUUUAAGUACCCCGCCUGGGGAGUACGGCCGCAAGGCUAAAACUCAAAGGAAUUGACGGGGCCCCGCACAAGCGGCGGAGCAUGCGGAUUAAUUCGAUGCAACGCGUAGAACCUUACCUGGGUUUGACAUGGAUCGGGAGUGCUCAGAGAUGGGUGUGCCUCUUUUGGGGUCGGUUCACAGGUGGUGCAUGCCUGUCGUCAGCUCGUGUCGUGAGAUGUUGGGUUAAGUCCCGCAACGAGCGCAACCCUUGUUCACUGUUGCCAGCACGUUAUGGUGGGGACUCAGUGGAGACCGCCGGGGUCAACUCGGAGGAAGGUGGGGAUGACGUCAAGUCCUCAUGCCCCUUAUGUCCAGGGCUUCACGCAUGCUACAAUGGCUGGUACAGAGAGUGGCGAGCCUGUGAGGGUGAGCGAAUCUCGGAAAGCCGGUCUCAGUUCGGAUUGGGGUCUGCAACUCGACCUCAUGAAGUCGGAGUCGCUAGUAAUCGCAGAUCAGCAACGCUGCGGUGAAUACAUUCCCGGGGCU
rnacentral:rRNA from 1 species